AAUAAAUUAUAAUUUAGCCUUCCAAACUAAUUUUGAAAUUUUCCCACCUAUUU
rnacentral:tRNA from 1 species